GAUGAACGCUAGCUACAGGCUUAACACAUGCAAGUCGAGGGGUAACGAGAGGAAAGCUUGCUUUCCUUGUCGACGACCGGCGCACGGGUGAGUAACGCGUAUCCAACCUGCCCCCAACUAGGGAAUAACCUUGCGAAAGUAAGACUAAUACCCUAUAAUUUCCUCAGAUGUCAUCUGACGAGGAAUAAAGAUUUAUCGGUUGUGGAUGGGGAUGCGUCUGAUUAGCUUGUUGGCGGGGUAACGGCCCACCAAGGCAACGAUCAGUAGGGGUUCUGAGAGGAAGGUCCCCCACAUUGGAACUGAGACACGGUCCAAACUCCUACGGGAGGCAGCAGUGAGGAAUAUUGGUCAAUGGGCGGAAGCCUGAACCAGCCAAGUAGCGUGCAGGAUGACGGCCCUAUGGGUUGUAAACUGCUUUUAUACAGGAAUAAAGUUAGCCACGUGUGGUUAUUUGUAGGUACUGUAUGAAUAAGGACCGGCUAAUUCCGUGCCAGCAGCCGCCGUAA
rnacentral:rRNA from 1 species